rnacentral:snRNA from 1 species
GCAUGUAAACUCCAGAAACUAUC